rnacentral:rRNA from 1 species
UACGUAGGUGGCAAGCGUUGUCCGGAAUUAUUGGGCGUAAAGCGCGCGCAGGCGGUCCUUUAAGUCUGAUGUGAAAGCCCACGGCUCAACCGUGGAGGGUCAUUGGGAACUGGGGGACUUGAGUGCAGGAGAGGAGAGCGGAAUUCCACGUGUAGCGGUGAAAUGCGUAGAGAUGUGGAGGAACACCAGUGGCGAAGGCGGCUCUCUGGCCUGUAACUGACGCUGAGGCGCGAAAGCGUGGGGAGCAAACAGGAUUAGAAACCCUGGUAGUCC